UGCGGAGGAUCAUUAUUGAAAUAAACCUGAUGGGUUGUNGCUGGUUCUCUAGGGAGCAUGUGCACGCCUUGUCAUCUUUAUAUCUCCACCUGUGCACCUUUUGUAGACCUUUCAGGUCUAUGUUUGCUUCAUUUACCCCAAUGUAUGUUAAUAGAAUGUUGUGCCUAUAUAAUAUAUACAACUUUCAGCAACGGAUCUCUUGGCUCUCGCAUCGAUGAAGAACGCAGCGAAAUGCGAUAAGUAAUGUGAAUUGCAGAAUUCAGUGAAUCAUCGAAUCUUUGAACGCACCUUGCGCUCCUUGGUAUUCCGAGGAGCAUGCCUGUUUGAGUGUCAUUAAUAUCUAUAUCAACCCUCCUUCUCUUGUGUAGGAGUGGUUUGGAUUUGGGGGUUUGCUGGCCUCUUUAAAAGGUUCAGCUCCCCUGAAAUGCAUUAACAGAACAAUCCUUGUUCAUUGGCGUGAUAACUAUCUAUGCUAUUGAAUGUGA
rnacentral:rRNA from 1 species